AGCCCCGUAGUGUAGUGGCCAAUCAUCUUCGGCUCUGGACCGGAGGACCGCGGUUCGAACCCGCGCGGGGCUA
rnacentral:tRNA from 1 species